AGCGGCAGCGGGAAAGUAGCUUGCUACUUUUGCCGGCGAGCGGCGGACGGGUGAGUAAUGCCUGGGGAUCUGCCCAGUCGAGGGGGAUAACUACUGGAAACGGUAGCUAAUACCGCAUACGCCCUACGGGGGAAAGCAGGGGACCUUCGGGCCUUGCGCGAUUGGAUGAACCCAGGUGGGAUUAGCUAGUUGGUGAGGUAAUGGCUCACCAAGGCGACGAUCCCUAGCUGGUCUGAGAGGAUGAUCAGCCACACUGGAACUGAGACACGGUCCAGACUCCUACGGGAGGCAGCAGUGGGGAAUAUUGCACAAUGGGGGAAACCCUGAUGCAGCCAUGCCGCGUGUGUGAAGAAGGCCUUCGGGUUGUAAAGCACUUUCAGCGAGGAGGAAAGGUUGGUAGCUAAUAACUGCCAGCUGUGACGUUACUCGCAGAAGAAGCACCGGCUAACUCCGUG
rnacentral:rRNA from 1 species